GUGAGUCUAUCAAAGACAAUCUCUCUACCCUACAAAGGUGCGGUUAAGGUCUGCAUACAUCUUUAUUUCUAUUUUGUAUAAGAAGAAAACUGCUUGUUAUCUAAACUAGUACUAGUAGAGUUAAAUAAUCUUUGAAUAAACAAGCUCUGUUGUCCCAAGAGUAAGUUGGCCAAAGAGCCAAGACAAGCUUAUGUUUCAUUAGUUGAG
rnacentral:misc_RNA from 1 species